AACCCAGUCCUUAUUUUGAAAGAGAGUUGACAGACAAAUGAUUUCUUUUAGUUGAGCUUUCUGAAUAUACUUAUUUUAAGUUUGUUGUUUGAUGCAGUGGGAUCCUCAAGCUGUAUGCAAAAGGCAAAGAGACAUGCCUGGUAAUGCAUUAUCCAAGGGACACAGAAACAGCUUUUUGACAGGCCACUCUUCCUGCUAACACCUGGUAAAUGCAGAGACCCGGCUCCAUGUAAGUCUCAUUCUGGUCUCCUAAGCCAAAUGCUCUACACUGGCAUUUCUAGGAGGUUACUGCUCUGCUCGUGGGGUUUGAAUCGCUCAAGUCUUUGGCCUCGUGCCCUGAAGUGCCAGCAGAGGCUUGCUGUAAUUGCCCGCAGCAGAGCUUGCAGCAGUGACAAGCUGUAAUCCCAAGGAAAACUGCUUGUGCCUGUGGCCUGGGUUAACCUGCUGGCAGAGAUACGUGCCUGGGCAGGGGCUGCUGUUUCACAGAGCUCAGCAUGGACGUGCUGCCACUCCCAGCCACUUUCAGGACACAGGUGAGUUGUUUACAGCAAUCUCAAAAAAACUUGUAAUAAAGUUGUUCUGCCUUGCUGGAGCCACCACUCCCAGAGACCUUUCCCCUUUCUUGGCUACUGUGGGAGCCUCCUUCCUUUAGCUUCACACCUUUAUCAGCUAGAAAUGAUACGGUUCAGAACUGGUUGUGGUCAGGCUCUCUCUCAGAAGGAGAGGCUACACUGUCACUCUGUUGUGGCUGCUGAGAACUGGAAGAUCAGAGAGGACAAGGGGGAAGUGGAAGCCUGAUCCUUCUUUUAUGUGGAAUGGAGUCAGGAUAUGCCCUUGUAUGAAGUUCAGCAGACAAAAACUUGGGCUGCAGUCACAUUCCUAUGCACCGUGCCAUUCCAGUCAGCCUGGUACUAAUCUCCACGGAUCUCUGAAGGCAUGAAACAACAUGCAGUGUAAAUGAAAUCCGAGCCACACCAUACCACAGUACUGGUGCCAGCCAGUUUUAGAAGACUUCCAUGAGAGCCAAAGGAAACAGGUAGAAUGGUAGGAGAUGCCUUGUAUCACCUGCAGGCACAGACCUACAGCACUCGAGCAGCUCCCAGGUCCCAGAGCAACGUGAGGCAUGUGAAAAGCUGGUGAACCCAGGGCUACUUAGACUUGAAUGCACUUUCCUGGGGAGGAAGUGGCUUUUCCCUUGGAAAGCUCAACUCCCCAGCGUCUGCAUGAGGUCAAUGGAAAAAGUGAUUUCUUCAGAAUAUGAUUCAGAGUGCCUAAGCAGAGGCUUAUCUUAUUGACUACAGAGGAAGCUCAACCUCUGUAGAUUUAAACUCACUUUUGAGAGUACUCAUCCCCUCUUGCCCCUUAGUUGUGGGAGUUAUACUAGACCUGGAUGUGGUUAGUCCUUGGUAGGCACACGAUCUACUGAAAUUCAGGUGCUGCAGACCAAAGCUAAGAGCUUGUCUACCAGAACACAGAGUGUCCUGUUGGAUCCUGUUUUG
rnacentral:lncRNA from 1 species